CCUACGGGUGGCAGCAGUGAGGAAUAUUGGUCAAUGGACGAGAGUCUGAACCAGCCAAGUAGCGUGAAGGAUGACUGCCCUAUGGGUUGUAAACUUCUUUUAUAUGGGAAUAAAAUGUUCCACGUGUGGGAUUUUGUAUGUACCAUAUGAAUAAGGAUCGGCUAACUCCGUGCCAGCAGCCGCGGUAAUACGGAGGAGCCGAGCGUUAUGCGGAUUUAUUGGGUUUAAAGGGAGCGUAGGUGGAUUGUUAAGUCAGUUGUGAAAGUUUGCGGCUCAACCGUAAAAUUGCAGUUGAAACUGGCAGUCUUGAGUACAGUAGAGGUGGGCGGAAUUCGUGGUGUAGCGGUGAAAUGCUUAGAUAUCACGAAGAACUCCGAUUGCGAAGGCAGUUCACUGGACUGCAACUGACACUGAGGCUCGAAAGUGUGGGUAUCAAACAGGAUUAGAUACCCUAGUAGUC
rnacentral:rRNA from 1 species